rnacentral:rRNA from 1 species
GACGAACGCUGGCGGCGUGCCUAACACAUGCAAGUCGAACGGAACUGUUUUGAAAGAUUUCUUCGGAAUGAAUUUGAUUUAGUUUAGUGGCGGACGGGUGAGUAACGCGUGAGUAACCUGCCUUCAAGAGGGGAAUAACAUUCUGAAAAGAAUGCUAAUACCGCAUGACAUAUCGGAACCACAUGGUUUUGAUAUCAAAGAUUUUAUCGCUUGAAGAUGGACUCGCGUCCGAUUAGUUAGUUGGUGAGGUAACGGCUCACCAAGACCGCGAUCGGUAGCCGGACUGAGAGGUUGAACGGCCACAUUGGGACUGAGACACGGCCCAGACUCCUACGGGAGGCAGCAGUGGGGGAUAUUGAGCAAUGGGGGCAACCCUGACGCAGCAACGCCGCGUGAAGGAUGAAGGUUUUCGGAAUGUAAACUUCUUUUAUUAAGGACGAAAAAUGACGGUACUUAAUGAAUAAGCUCCGGCUAACUACGUG